rnacentral:tRNA from 1 species
GCGCGCAUAGCUCAGCUGGUUAGAGCGUUGCAUUCACAUUGCAAAGGCCCGGGGUCCGAAUCCCUGUGCGCGCACCG